CUCUACAAAUUUUUUAAUCUGAUCCAAAAUCCAUAUUAGGAUACUUUAAGAAGAUUAGAUCCAAAAGAGAAGAAAUAGACCAUACUACCCCUAAACCUAGUAUAUAAAACCACAAGAAAAAAGAGCAGCCGCACCAGCUAGAGAAAAUGGAAAAAUAUUAGCUAAAAGAAGAAAAAGAGAUCCCCAAGCUCAAUUGGUCUCAGAAUUAGAUAGUUGAUAGUAAAUGUUGUUCUCGGUGUGGAUACGCAUAUAGAAUCUUCAUAUAACGAAGAAAACUUUCCAUUACGAUUAUCGCCAUCAGGAUUGGUGCUUUGUGGAAUCAAGUCAAUUGGGGGUAUUGAUUGAUCUAUAAUCAUUAUUCUCAAUUGUUUUCUAUCUCGUGUCUCUUAUUCUAUCCUUUUAUCUUUUGUUUAUCUUUGUUUCUUAUUCUUUGUGUUAGAAUUUUGAUUUUUGCAUCUCGAUAUUGUAUCAAUUGAAAUUAAGGGUGUGUUUGAUA